GACCAGACUCCUACGGGAGGCAGCAGUGGGGAAUAUUGCACAAUGGGGGAAACCCUGAUGCAGCGACGCCGCGUGAGCGAUGAAGUAUUUCGGUAUGUAAAGCUCUAUCAGCAGGGAAGAAAAUGACGGUACCUGACUAAGAAGCCCCGGCUAACUACGUGCCAGCAGCCGCGGUAAUACGUAGGGGGCAAGCGUUAUCCGGAUUUACUGGGUGUAAAGGGAGCGUAGACGGCAAUGCAAGCCAGAUGUGAAAGCCCGGGGCUCAACCCCGGGACUGCAUUUGGAACUGUGUAGCUGGAGUGUCGGAGAGGCAGGCGGAAUUCCUAGUGUAGCGGUGAAAUGCGUAGAUAUCACGCAGAACCCCGAUUGCGAAGGCAGCAUGCCGGCUUCCGACUGACGCUGAAGCACGAAAGCGUGGGGAUCGAACAGGAUUAGAUAUCCUUGUAU
rnacentral:rRNA from 1 species